UGUAGAUUCGGGUAGUACUUCAUCCUGUUCCGCCUGGGCUGUAAGCGCUGUGUCUUCAGUAGAAGCUGGCGGAGCGCCAUCCGGAGCUGGAGCGGCGUGACCUCGGGCAUUUUCGGUGGUGGAGCAGCCAACAUCACUAACAACACCUGUUGGUGUGCUUGCUGUAGUGGGUUCGUGUGCCUCUAGUGCUGACUGAAUGCUAGGUACAUCAAAAUUCUCCAAACAUCUUUCUCUCGGUUGCAUUGGAACAUAUCUGGCUGUACACAGCCCUGCACUGUCCUCCGCGGCUUUACCCGCCGUUCGGUCUCCACUGGGCCUCAUACACUUGCGGCUGAGGAGAUGCGAGGCAUGGCUCCGUUUGACGUGGUAGUAAAAAGAGUUGUACACUCUGUAUUCCUGAGUGCAGCCGUCAAUGCCGCAGAUGACACGGAAAUUCGGACUACGGCUGUGUACCGUAUUGAUGUGGUUCAGCAAUGCUCUUAAUGUCACUGCCACAAAAAGGCAGCAGAUGAAACAACGCCAAAUCAUUUUACUGUGUAAAGACACCCUCAUAACAGCCCUAACCGAGGCCUCGACCCCACAGCAGACCGCGAAAAGGAUCGUUGUAGUGGCGGAAGGUUACAUCAAUAGGAAAGGGUGGUACGCUGUAAAUCAUUUGAAGUUGGUAAUGCUUUAAAUAUAUACAACUCAAAAUAAGGUGUUUAGGAUGUAAGACUAUUGUAAUUGUCUUAAAUUUCAAAGUUUGUUAGUAAUUUUUAAUAAAUUUUAUAGCCCAUUAUUUGAACAGCGGAUGUAGACACUACAGACGUAGUACUGCGGUUCGAGUAGCGCCCUUCUUCCUCCGAGAAAAGCGGGAACGGCUGUUAACAGACUGGAGAAUGGAGCUGCACUGUUAGCUCACCGCUAGCUAUCUGGAUUGGCUAGCAGUUAGCUAACUAAAGUUUUUUUCUGUGUACCGUUAGCCUGAAGAUGAACCUUGCUCACUAAUAUCAAAUCUCCUUGUAAGCCCUGCUGCCUUUGUGAGCUAGCUAAAAGUAAGAUAUCUGACUUUUGCUGGGACACCCUUGGAGACCUUAGCUAGCUAACUAAGCUACAUAUCUGGAACCCACUCCCUCAGAUGUCCGUUAUGGAAAAACUGGACGCAGUAUCAGCGGCUACCUUACAAGCUGCAAACAUCAGUGAAGCCUUGUUACCAACCCUGUCCCGUGAAGACAUACGUGAUCUUUUUCCUGGACCUGAACAUUUUCUUAGGAGAAAAGCCAUAUGGAACCUGUUUCACACAGAUCAAGAGCAGGGGCAGCAGGCAGCAUCCCCCAAUCAAGAGAAUGGUUCGAAUGGCAGAGGGCUGGCCACUGUACAAGUCAACCCUUGUGUUUCAGAAACUCCUCGGUCUCCUGAUGUGCAAGAGACUCCGAGAACCUGGCAGCUACCCAACCCUGAGUAUGUUGUGUAUACUGACAGUGAGCUGGAACAUAUUAGA